GCGGACGUGAUGGAACCGGUAGACAUCUUGGUUUCAGGAACCAAGGGGCGCAAGCCCGUGAGAGUUCGACUCUCUCCGUCCGCACCA
rnacentral:tRNA from 1 species